rnacentral:lncRNA from 7 species
UUCAGAUUCAAAUUUGGAAAUUCAAAAUAAAAAGAAGACAAACUAGGAAAAAGAAAAGAAAAGAAAAGAAAAAAAGGAAAACAUGGCACGUGGGCUGGCUUACCACAUUUCGGCCCAUCAGAUGGAACCACCGCGCGGCCCAAUCUGCUUACCGCGAGUGCGCUAGCCACUCUGCGGCUGACCGUGCGGGUCCACCAGGCAGUUCCUCAACUAUCGCGCCCCCGUCUUCUCCGCACGUCACCCGCGUUCCCCCACGCAGACUGGGUCGUGCCGCUAGCUCCGGGAUUCCGUUGCGGCCGCCCCGAUCCCCAUCACGCCCUCAAAUACCAGGCUCCCACACGCGCGUGCACUCGUGCUCCCUUUUCUCCGCUGCCACUCCACGCAAAUUCUUGCGCCGUCGCGUGCCGCACAGAGAAAACCCGCCGCCGUCGUGGUGUCGCGUCUACCCCGCUGGUGUGGCCAUGAUAGCAGACCAGGGAGCUCCUGCAAGGUUGCCGGUGUUCAUGCAUGGCCUAGAUUGGAGCUAUUGGCGCUCGGGUCGCCGGUAAUUGCUCACCGGUGCUUCACCACCGCCAUGGGUCCGCCACGCACCAUAGUUACGUUCGCGCGAUCCAUAAUC